rnacentral:rRNA from 1 species
GCAAAACGCGAAGAACCUUACCCACCUUUGACAUGUACGGAAUCCUUUAGAGAUAGAGGAGUGCUCGAAAGAGAGCCGUAACACAGGUGCUGCAUGGCUGUCGUCAGCUCGUGUCGUGAGAUGUUGGGUUAAGUCCCGCAACGAGCGCAACCCUUGCCAUUAGUUGCUACGAAAGGGCACUCUAAUGGGACUGCCGGUGACAAACCGGAGGAAGGUGGGGAUGACGUCAAGUCCUCAUGGCCCUUAUAGGUGGGGCUACACACGUCAUACAAUGGCUGGUACAAAGGGUUGCCAACCCGCGAGGGGGAGCCAAUCCCAUAAAGCCAGUCGUAGUCCGGAUCGCAGUCUGCAACUCGACUGCGUGAAGUCGGAAUCGCUAGUAAUCGUGGAUCAGCAUGUCACGGUGAAUACGUUCCCGGGUC